UAGAGAGUCUGUUUUACAUGAUCAACACAUGCUUCAGUGCUUUGCAAGUGUUUAUAACUCUGUCAAACAUAAAACAUGAGUAACAGCUGUUUUUCACUGUAACUGAAUCUACAACCAACAAAAAUGACUUUUAUCACCAUAUUGUUUUGGACAUUGGCAGUUUUAUGUCAAGAAUCUGUUGGGCAGGUGACAGUGACUCAAACUCCAUCAGAGCUGGUUGCUCAAACUGGACAAUCGGUCACUGUAACCUGUAAAUUUAGCCGUAAUGUGGAAUGCUGUUGCAGUGGGAAACACUGUCUAAGCUGGUAUUUGCAGAAACCUGGAGAAGCUCCUAAACUCCUCAUUUAUGGUACAAGCAGCCUCCAGUCAGGAACUCCAUCUAGAUUCAGUGGCAGUGGAUCUAACAGUGAUUUCACUCUGACCAUCAGUGGAGUCCAGACUGAAGAUGCUGGACAUUAUUACUGUCAGAGUUACCACUACAUCAGUGGCUAUGUGUUCACACACUGAUAAAGAGUCGUACAAAUACCUCCGUCAGUCAGAGUCACAGUGACUGAACUGAUUCUGCAGCUGCUCAAACACUAUCACUCACUACUGACACACAGAGACCAAACACAGGAACUACACAUGUGCUCAAUCAAAUAAAAGCUCCAUGUUAUUUUGUUUUUAUACAUUAGACUACACUGUAAAAUCAUGAAUCACCAACAAGCAGAUUCUCAAGCACCCCCUUCAUCUCAAGCUGAUAAUGAAUUUAUUUCUUUAUAACUCAUUUAUUCAUGAGCAGAAGUGAAACUGUUCCAGUUCAGAGCGUUGAACCAAUCAAACAGUGAAACUGUGAGUUUGAGGUGAAAAUCAGAUUUGCAUUGGCAGCUUUAAUGAUUCUGAUCGUCUCAGAAUAGAGCAGCUCCGUCUCCAGUGACCAUGUUCAAACCCCAAGAGCUUCAGUUUACAUUUACUGCUAAAUGCAGCUGUUCUCAACUAUUACAGUCCAUCAAAAUAAUUUCACCAAGUCUUAAUGAAAUUGGUCAUUAAAACAGCAUUUUAGCUGAGUUCAAAAUAAUGCCACAAAUCACAAACAUCUAGUGCUUUACUAGUGGAGCCGU